GGGCGCGUGGCCUAAUGGACAAGGCAUCAGACUUCUAAGGUACGAUUUGGAUUGGAAUCUGAGGAUUGUGGGUUCGAGUCCCACCGUGCUCG